GUGCCCCUUUUGAGAUGGAAGAGAUUUGCUUUAGUUGCAGCAAUGUGCAUUCUCGCAGUUCGAGCAGUGAUUGUUCAACUAGCUUUUUUUCUUCACAUGCAGACCCAUGUCUUUAAAAGGCCAGCUGCCUUCUCAAGGCCUCUCAUAUUUGCAACUGCAUUUAUGAGCUUCUUCUCAGUUGUUAUAGCAUUAUUUAAGGUAUCAACUUUUGUUUUUUUUCCAUGGAACUAUGUUGUGUGCUUUCCCUUUCUGCUUGAUUAGUACUGUGAAUGUUGAUUUUUUUAUAUGUAUUUCCUUGAUUAGGUAUUGGGACACACAAUUUUGGCUUCAAUUUUGGCUUCUAAAAAUUGUUUUAGAAAAUAAUGCUUAUAAUAAAUGUCUUCUGAAGGAUGUUUAUGCAAUUGCCCUGCUAACCAUUGGGGGACAUUCUUGUUGUUAGGAUGCUGUCUCUGAUCUUAUCAAGGCUCAUGAAGUUUCUCCUGAUGAUGAAACAAUUGCAGAGGUCUUGAGGGAUGCUGAGGAAAGAUUACUGAAGGAGGGAGGUGCAC